rnacentral:rRNA from 1 species
UACGGAGGGUGCAAGCGUUAAUCGGAUUUACUGGGCGUAAAGCGUGCGUAGGUGGUUUGUUAAGUCAGUUGUGAAAUCCCAGGGCUCAACCUUGGAAUUGCAUCUGAUACUGCAGACUAGAGAUCGGUAGAGGUUAGUGGAAUUCCAGGUGUAGCGGUGAAAUGCGUAGAUAUCUGGAGGAACAUCGAUGGCGAAGGCAACUGACUGGGCCUGAUCUGACACAUGAGACGAAAGCGUGGGGAGCAAACAGGAUUAGAUACCCCCUGUAGUCC